GACGAACGCUGGCGGCGUGCUUAACACAUGCAAGUCGAACGGAAAGGCCCUGCUUUUGUGGGGUGCUCGAGUGGCGAACGGGUGAGUAACACGUGAGUAACCUGCCCUUGACUUUGGGAUAACUUCAGGAAACUGGGGCUAAUACCGGAUAGGAGCUCCUGCUGCAUGGUGGGGGUUGGAAAGUUUCGGCGGUUGGGGAUGGACUCGCGGCUUAUCAGCUUGUUGGUGGGGUAGUGGCUUACCAAGGCUUUGACGGGUAGCCGGCCUGAGAGGGUGACCGGCCACAUUGGGACUGAGAUACGGCCCAGACUCCUACGGGAGGCAGGAGUGGGGAAUAUUGCACAAUGGGCGGAAGCAUGAUGCAGCAACGCAGCGUGCGGGAUGACGGCCUGCGGGUUGUAAACCGCUUUCGCCUGUGACGAAGCGUGAGUGACGGUAAUGGGUAAAGAAGCACCGGCUAACUACGUG
rnacentral:rRNA from 1 species